GCGCCCGUAGCUCAGCUGGAUAGAGCGCCGCCCUCCGGAGGCGGAGGUCAGAGGUUCGAAUCCUCUCGGGCGCG
rfam:Idiomarina sp. A28L contig00013, whole genome shotgun sequence.